AACGAACGCUGGCGGCAGGCCUAAAACAUGCAAGUCGAACGGGUGUAGCAAUACAUCAGUGGCGCACGGGUGAGUAACGCGCGGGAACGUGCCCUUCAGUACGGGACAACGUCGGGAAACUGACGCUAAUACCGUAUAAUAUCUCCGGAUCAAAGAUUGAUCGCUGAGGGAGCGGCCCGCGUCGGAUUAGCUAGUUGGUGGGGUAAUGGCCUACCACGGCUACGACCAGUAGCUGGUCUGAGAGGAUGAUCAGCCACACUGGGACUGAGACACGGCACAGACUCCUACGGGAGGCAGCAGUUAGGAAUAUUGGACAAUGGGCGAAAGCCUGAUCCAGCCAUGCCGCGUGUGUGAUGAAGGCCCUAGGGUUGUAAGGCACUUUCGUUGGGGAUGAUAAUGACCGUACCCAAAGAAGAAGCCACGGCUAAACUCGUGCCAGCCGCCGCCGUAA
rnacentral:rRNA from 1 species